rnacentral:rRNA from 1 species
GAUGAACGCUGGCGGCGUGCCUAAUACAUGCAAGUCGAGCGAACAGACGAGAGUGCUUGCACUCUCUGACGUUAGCGGCGGACGGGUGAGUAACACGUGGGUAACCUACCUAUAAGACUGGGAUAACUUCGGGAAACCGGAGCUAAUACCGGAUAAUAUUUAGCUUCGCAUGAAGCAAUAGUGAAAGACGGUUCUGCUGUCACUUAUAGAUGGACCCGCGGUGUAUUAGCUGGUUGGUGGGGUAACGGCUCACCAAGGCAACGAUACAUAGCCGACCUGAGAGGGUGAUCGGCCACACGGGGACUGGAACACGGCCCAGACUCCUACGGGAGGCAGCAGUAGGGAAUCUUCCGCAACGGACGAAAGUCUGACGGAGCAAUGCCGCGUGAGUGAAGAAGGUUUUCGGAUCGUAAAACUCUGUUGUAAGGGAAGAACAAGUACGUUAGUAACUGAACGUACCUUGACGGUACCUGAUCAGAAAGCCACGGCUAACUACGUG